CAACUUGACUAAAGAUCUCAGAUG
rnacentral:siRNA from 1 species